rnacentral:antisense_RNA from 1 species
CUUGAUGGAGCCGAGCCACAGGGGCUCCCCGGCCUCGGCGCGCUCCUGACCGUAGGUGGCGAGCAGCGCCUGCGCCUC